rnacentral:lncRNA from 1 species
UGCAAUUAAGCUUGAUCAUGGUUCUUAAAGGAUCCAAUAAUAUUAUUAAACAAAACUGAGAACUCGUGCCUGGAAUUACAGUGCAAUUGAGUAUUGAAAACUUUGAUUAUUCUUUAACCGAGCUAUAAUAAACCGAAGCAAAAGAAAAACUCUAGAAAUUGGUAGAUUGUAGAGAAAAAAUGAAUUGAAUCGGACCUUUCCAGAAAGCGGAGACGACGGAGAUCGGAGAGUUGGUUUUGUCUCUCUCCGAUCCAGUUGGCGGAGACUCCAUUUGUGUGAGAGAUGAUGAAGUUUUGUUGAAGAAAUUGAUUGAAUUGAAGUUUGAAUAAAUCGCUAUAAGCUUUCACCAAACCAAACGGAAACAACCGUAACUUCUGAUGAAGAAAUAGAUCAACCGAAUCGUCAUUUCUAGGAGUAGUUACUAUAUGCACCCUCUCCGUUUUACUUUUACUCAUU